GGGAUGCUAGCCACUUUGGGAG
rnacentral:piRNA from 1 species